GCUGCAGUCGGUACGGAUGUUAUUUAAAAUGAAAAAGCUGCUAUGUAAAACGAAUUUUACUAUAUGUAUUGUUUUAACACACUUCAUACAUUGGGCAUCUCUGAUGGAGAGAGGCGGCAAAUAUAGUUAAUGUCAGCUCAGCAGCCGUAGAUAGACUCCACCGCUUGCGGGGAUGGACGCGAGGCUUCUUAUAUAGCGAGGGGUUAUCUUCCACGUACUUUGAGAACUGAUCCAAACCUAACACCAUCAACCUGUAUGAUGAAACAUGUCACUGCUAUAUUCAGUGGGCCUACAGACAAAAAAAUAAAGAUGGCCGGCAAAUAUAUGUACAUACAAGUGAAGUCAGCUCUACAGGGACAGGGCGGCAGGAGGUAAGGGUACAGGAACACGGAGCUGUUGGACACCACUCGCUUGAACAGUUCCGGGAAGUCACCCAGGUGCACACUGUUCUGGGAUAUCCGUUUCCGACUGGAAUAAUUAAUUAAAUAUAUUAUAAUGAUAUCUAAGAUAUUAAAUGAAACUAAUUUUUUUUAUUA